rnacentral:lncRNA from 1 species
CGGAGUUGAAGGUGCCUGUGAUACCUACACACUGAUUCUUUGGUAAGUCUGAAGUUGCACACAAUAUCAGAAUAACUGUGUAUCUGAAUCCACAGGUGAGGAAGAAGCUGGUAUAUUAGGGUCUUUGCUGUAGGAAACACAUUUUAUUUUCAAACUGAGGGGGGUGGGCAGGAAGAAACUUCAGCAAGGAGUGUGGGAGAAUGCUGUUUGCCCUUUAGGCAUAAGUAAAAUGAAUAAGGCUGAUUGUACCACACAGAAGAGUAAGUUUGGGAAACUAAAAACAUUCUAUUUUAUUCCAUUUUCCACAGGAAACAGAGAAUGGAGAAUUGUGGUAGACUCCCAUUAGCAUUAUGUGGUCUCCACAAAACCCUAUUUUCUCAAGUCUGAAGACAUUUAAAGGAAUGGAUUACAUUAAAAGACAAACACAAAAAUCCACCAGAUCAUCAAUCAAAAGAAGAAAAAGUAUCCCCAAAAGGGUGAAAAUUCUGUGGCAGAAGAAAAUGGAAGAUAUUAUCAGCAAAUAAUAUCAAUGGUCAAAGGCAACAUGAUUUGAAAAGGACCCAGGAGAGAGAAUAUUGAGGAAGGCUUCAAAUCAAAGUGAAACCACCAAUAUGUGAUUUGCUUCUGCUUCCAAUUUGUCUAGAAGGAUUUUGCCACUCCCAUCUAGUAAACCACCAAUGCCAAAUAAAAGCACUAUAUUACAUGCG